GGCAAAGGGAGUAAAUCUGCAGUGCCAGGCUCAUGCUACCCAUGUUCCAGGAAUAGGAGGUGGCUACCAAGCACAGGGCUUUUGUGCAGCACAUGCAAAAUAAAAGGAGAGCUCUGCAAACAUGCAACGAGCCAACAUUAGUUUCAGUCACAGAGGAUAAGGAGCACUCACCAAUCUGUGAGCAGGCUGGGCGGCACAGGUUGCCCAGAAGCUGUGGAGUCUCCUUCUUGGGGACCUUCAGCAGCCACCUGGACAUGGGCCUGGGCCCCUGCUGGAACAGGGGUUGUUCCUGAUGGACCCAGAGGACACUGCCAGCCUCAACCACUCUGAGAUUCUGUGGGUGACAUGCACCACUUGAAGAACAGAAGGAAAACAACCUUCAAGCAUCUUCAGUGAGAAAAAUGUUUUUUAUGUUCUUUCUCUUCAGGGCAUUCAAAUAGCAGGCAGGACAAUAGUAGCUUGUGAAACUAUCUACGAAGUGAAUAUGGAUUUCUCUAUGUAAGCCCUUAAAAUAGUGCCUGAAUCUGAAGUAAAACCAGAAGUCACAAACUAUAACCUUUGGACCCAAUUAUUGCAUUCUAUCAUAUGCCAUGUCUAGUACGAAAAAGAGAGAGAAUACGAGAAAAAGAAAGUAUUCCUUUCAACUAGUGGCUCUACAAACACGGAUCAAACUGCUGAGGGUAUUUUCAACACAGUAAGAAAUGCGAAGCUUGUGUGGCACC
ensembl:lncRNA